UUCACAAGGAAGAUUCAGUGCUGCUGCUCAGCCCGGGAAGAACCUCUCAAUUUUCAGCACAGCUACUCGGCUCGGGAAGAAGUUUUCAAUCUUCAGCGCUGUACUCCAGCCUUGCGGGGAUAAGAUAACUGAUGAUUGGGAGAUGAACACAUUCACGAAUCAAAAUUUAGGAAUGCUACGGGAACAUCUUGAGAGCCAUGGCUCAGCCUAAUUUGUUGGGAAGUGCAUCCAUUUGUCAGUGUUUUUCAAUUUAUUUUCAUACUGGAAUCAAUUCUAUAACAUCAAUCGCUUGCUUUUCUUGUAAUCUCUCUUUUCGUUGUUUGAUUUUUGUGCAAGGAAUAUCAAGCAAAACUCGAAGUGCUUAAGAGAAUUAUUAAGGGAGCCUGGGAAUUUUUGGAUCAGAAGGGCAGCGUAGCUGCUUUGGGUGAACGGGUCUGCGCAGGAUUUUUUCGGCGCUAGGGAAUUUUAGCCCUGCACAGGAUUCUCUCAACACAGCGGGAUUCCAGCUCUGCCGUUUCAAAAAUCCUGAUAUUUCAGGAUUAAUCUUGCUUUAAAUGGGGAUUGCAUCUGUUGAUUUUGGGGGUUAUCCAUGUCUCGUUUUUUAGACUGACUUUGCUCUACUUUUCUUUACAAAUUCAGGGCUGCGCAGGGCAUUUUUCGUGGAGGGAGCGCAACGUUUUUCAGGGAAUCUAUUGGAAAUGCUGUCUUCUUUAACACUCAUGAGAUCAUGCGAAGAAAGAUACAACAGCAAAGGAAAAUGAGGAAUUAGUGGAAUAACAACAUGAAGUAAAAUUAUUAAGCUGCGCAGGAAUGAAAGAAAGAAGAGUUACUAAAGCUGCGCUGCAUAAUUUUCUAAGCGGUGCUGCGGGAUAUCUAAUCUGGUCUUCAACACAGGAACUCUACAUCCCAGCACAGAAUGUCUCAGCCGUAAUGUAACAAAGAAAAUGAGCUUUAGUGGCAAUUCAGCCACGCUUCGGAGGGAAAAGCCUUAAGUAGAAUUUGGGUCUUCUCAGCGCAGUCAGGAUAUUUAUCUCAGCUACUUCAGCGCAGUUAUCUCAGCGCAGCUAUCUCAGCGCAGCUAUCUCAGUUAUCUUAGCUACCUCAGCGCAGUUAUCUCAGCGCAGCUAUCUCAGCGCAGUCAGGGCAGUAUCUCAGCUACCUCAGGGAAGCUACCUCAGCGCAGUAAGGACAUGUAUCUCAGCUACUUCAGCGCAGCUAUCUCAGCGCAGCUAUCUCAGUUAUCUCAGUAGUUUUCAGCGCAGAAUGUCCGAGCCGUUGUCAGUUCAGAAUGUCUAUGCUCCGCGCAGGAAUAUCGUAAGCCGCGAAAGUUAGACAGGGGUGUACCAUCUUGAGGGCCGCUUCGGCGGGGGUGUACCAUCUUGAGGGCCGCUUCGGCGGGGGUGUACCAUCUUAAGGGCCGCUUCGGCGGGGGUGUACCAUCUUUGUACCAUCUUGAGGGCCGCUUCGGCGGGGGUGUACCAUCUUGAGGGCCGCUUCGGCGGGGGUGUACCAUCUUAAGGGCCGCUUCGGCGGGGGUGUACCAUCUUUGUACCAUCUUGAGGGCCGCUUCGGCGGGGGUGUACCAUCUUGAGGGCCGCUUCGGCGGGGGUGUACCAUCUUAAGGGUCGCUUCGGCGGGGUGUACCAUCUUUGUACCAUCUUAAGGGCCGCUUCGGCGGGGGUGUAUCAUCUUUGUCAGUGCAGGUAGUGCAGCGCAGUCAGCGCGGGGUUGUCAGCGCAGUCGGUGCAGCGCAGUCAGCGCGAGGUUGUCAACGCAGAUCACUUGAGUCUUCCCAGCACAGGUUAUCUAAGCCCUUAUUAUCUUUAAUGAUGUUCGACGAAUCAAAAGGAAUAAUUACUAUCUCUUUUAUCUCAGCUUAUUUCCAGCAUUAAAAUACUUUGUCUUUAUCAUUUUUGCAAAGAUUGACAGUUCUUGUCUAAUAAGUCGCAGGGAAUCGUAUAUGCUUAAUUGACACGGGAGAGCAGCACAGCGCUGACUUCACACCACACACCCCUAGUUGAACAAAGAGAACGCUGUUCAACUAGACCAGGGGGGGAGUAGCUGAUGAGGACUGGAAUACUCAUCAGCGAUGUGCUUAAUAAUCCAAGCCUAUUUUACCUUGUUAUGAUUAUUGUUAUUAUUAUUAUAUAAACUAACCAGCGCAGGUUUAACUAAAGACUCGGGAUAAUAAA